GACGAACGCUGGCGGCGUGCCUAAUACAUGCAAGUAGAACGCACAGUUUAUACCGUAGCUUGCUACACCAUAGACUGUGAGUUGCGAACGGGUGAGUAACGCGUAGGUAACCUGCCUGGUAGCGGGGGAUAACUAUUGGAAACGAUAGCUAAUACCGCAUAAUAUUAAUUAUUGCAUGAUAAUUAAUUGAAAGGUGCAAUUGCACCACUACCAGAUGGACCUGCGUUGUAUUAGCUAGUAGGUGAGGUAACGGCUCACCUAGGCGACGAUACAUAGCCGAACUGAGAGGAGGAUCGGCCACACUGGGACUGAGACACGGCCCAGACGCCUACGGGAGGCAGCAGGAGGGAAUCUUCGGCAAUGGACGAAAGGCUGACCGAGCAACGCCGCGGGAGUGAAGAAGGUUUUCGGAUCGGAAAGCUCGGUUGUAAGAGAAGAAAGGGUGUGAGAGUGGAAAGUUCACACUGUGACGGUAUCUUACCAGAAAGGGACGGCUAACUACGUG
rnacentral:rRNA from 1 species